rnacentral:lncRNA from 1 species
GUCAUUCUGAGUCCUCGUGGACUCCUUUUCCUUGCAUUUCGAAAUGGGCCACGGAGGCCCAAGUUCAUUCUCCUUCUCGAGUCAACCCUCAAUCACCAACAUUGGAGCAAACGAACAGGGUCAAUUGGAAGCGAAAGAGGAUGUAUACAUGUUUUAUACAUUAUGAUACAACAGAAAGAGGGUCCAAAAAAAGUGCCCUAAAUUUUCAGCUUUGUAUUUUGUUACUUUGGGCCUAAGCCCUUGUCACUUUCAUUAUUAUUUUGCUAGAAUUUAGGACAGGUGGAGGAAUAUUGGGCCUAAGGCCCAAAACAAAAUAUCUUAUAUAUAUUAGACUAGGACAGGUGCAGCUGAUUUAAAUGGGCCAAAGGCCCAAAACGAGAUUAGGUCCAAGUACUGGCCCAGGCGAACAGAUCCAGACUUGGGCCCAAAUUCUCUUUCCCUAUCUAUUUAACUGCUAUUAUGUGCUUAUUUGUUAAAAAAUAAUAUUAAGGUCUCGAAACUUCAAAUCUCCAAAAGACAUCCAUUUUGAAUUAAUCGCUUAACUAAAUUAUUUCUCUUUCACUCUGCUUAAAAAAUAAAUAAAUAAUAAAUAAAUAAGUUUAUGAAAUACUUCACUUAGAUAAUAUUUCAUUAUUUUUUUAUUAAAAUGGUCUCAACUAUAAAGUAGUUCACUUUUACAAUUCAAGAUGAGUGAAAAUAUUUUAGCCAAAUAAUUAAUUAUCGGAUAACCGCAUAUUAGCGGGCAUUUCGGGUGCUUUCAAACCCUUCCCAAAAUGCUAAUAAGAACCCCGAACCCCUUUUAAGUUUUCAUUAGAUUUUCUGUUUCAGUCUUUUGAAAACAACAGUUUUAGUGGCGACUCUUAAAUCAGUCCAAAUAAUAUUUUUAAAUAAAACACUGCUUCAACUACAGAACGGUGGGGGAAUUUAAAAUUUCAGUGGACAAAAAUGGUAGGCGAGAUAGCACAUACUUACACAUAUCUUCAAAGCUGAAAUACAGGGUUCCUAAGUACUACCAAGCUCCUCAGAAGCCAAAUCCAAAAUGGGCAGUACACCUACAGGAAGAGACGAAUCAACAGAGAAAUGAAAAGAAGGUAAUAAUAAAAAAUGGUAAAGGACAAACCUUUGUCAACUGAUAUUGGCAACAAAGUAGAAGACCAAUGAUGGAGAAUUAAUUACCCAUAGGAGAAGGAAGCAAAGUUAAUUGUUGGUGGGCACAAGGCGGAACAUUUUCAGUAGAGGGAGCUGAAGAUUC